rnacentral:tRNA from 1 species
GUUUUAAUAGUUUAAAAAAAACAUUGGUCUUGUAAACCAAAAUUAAUAAUAAUUUUAAAACU